UACUGGCCCUCACAACAAGAGUGCACAUCCAGAAACUACAAUGUCAUAACUCAUUGUAACCUAUAGAGUGUAUGGAGAUGAGCUUUCCCACAUGGAAUAUAUUCUGUUAGAAACUGCAGUUGUUAUCAUCAUUGAUUACAAUGACAUAGUCACAUUUCUAUGGCUUUAUUUUUGCACUUGUAUAUCGUCAUUGAUUACAAUGACAUGGCUUCGAUGGCUUUUUUUUGCACUAACAUUACCCUGCCUGCUUUAAUAAGCAUGAAAUAAA
rnacentral:lncRNA from 1 species